CAGCCGCCGCGGUAAUACGGAGGGUGCAAGCGUUAAUCGGAAUUACUGGGCGUAAAGCGUGCGUAGGCGGCUCGUUAAGUCAGAUGUGAAAGCCCUGGGCUCAACCUGGGAACUGCAUUUGAAACUGGCGAGCUCGAGUUGAGUAGAGGUAAGUGGAAUUUCAGGUGUAGCGGUGAAAUGCGUAGAUAUCUGAAGGAACACCAGUGGCGAAGGCGACUUACUGGACUCAAACUGACGCUGAGGUACGAAAGCGUGGGUAGCAAACAGGAUUAGAUACCCUGGUAGUCCACGCCGUAAACGAUGUCAACUAGCCGUUGGUCCUAUUUACAGGAUUAGUGGCGCAGCUAACGCAUUAAGUUGACCGCCUGGGGAGUACGGCCGCAAGGUUAAAACUCAAAGGAAUUGACGG
rnacentral:rRNA from 1 species